CAGCCGCCGCGGGAAUACGUAGGUGGCAAGCGUUGUCCGGAAUUAUUGGGCGUAAAGCGCGCGCAGGCGGAUAGGUCAGUCUGUCUUAAAAGUUCGGGGCUUAACCCCGUGAUGGGAUGGAAACUGCCAAUCUAGAGUAUCGGAGAGGAAAGUGGAAUUCCUAGUGUAGCGGUGAAAUGCGUAGAUAUUAGGAAGAACACCAGUGGCGAAGGCGACUUUCUGGACGAAAACUGACGCUGAGGCGCGAAAGCCAGGGGAGCGAACGGGAUUAGAUACCCCAGUAGUCCCUGUCUCUUAUACA
rnacentral:rRNA from 1 species